UGGAAUUUUCACUUGGUGAACAUUUUGAACGCGAAUAUGUUUCAUCGGGAUAUUCGGCCACAUCAUCAACAAUCACAAGCUAUUCAAAUAUCUAUGCAUUACCUAUUUAUGUGCCAGUUCCCGUUUCACUGCCUUCACAAAUCAAUCAACCGGAGCCAGUGGAACGUUUGGAUUCAAAAGAAAGAGUUUCUCAGUUGGAAGAUCCAUAGCGGAUGCUGGAACUGCAGAAGAAGAUUCAGGAAUUGGAGAUUAGUUUGCAGGAAGCCAAAGCCAAACAGGCUGUUCCUCCCAGUGGAAUUAAGAGCCAGCAGGUCGUCAUCGACAAAUCGAUAUCUGCAGCUAUUUCCACUGGAGCCACUGAAGCCGAACUUUGUGUGUUCCUAAAAAGAAUCCUUCUACCUCAUCUUGUGUCUCUUCUAAAAUUCUGAAUGAAAUUGAUCUUCUGCACGACCGAUUGAGCAAUAUGAUCGCCUCAACCGGAGCUGUCGCUGUCAACCGUCGUCGCAUUGGAAAGAUAACCGACAACUAUCAGGAGCCGAUUGGGCGUGGAGGAUUCGGCCAAGUCUUCAAAGGAACUUGGCAUGAACGUCAAGUAGCCGUCAAAGAAAUCCGCUCUCCUUGGCGUUGCAGCACAGUCGUCGAGGCUCAAUCGUUCGCCAAGAUGAUUCAACGAGAGGUUGAAGCCCUUUCAGCUGUCCAGCGCCGCAAUAUUAUUGGACUGCUCGGUCUUUGCACGGAUAACGAAUCGAGUGAUGGUGACUCAUCGAUUAGAGUCUGCUCAUCUUUGAAUUCGCCAACGGAGGGACUCUUUUCGACUAUCUUUUCGGUGGCCAAGCAAAAAACAACAAAUUCAAAUCAGACGUGAAUCAAAUGAUACUGAUCGCUCGCCAUCUCACCGCGAGGCUCUCCAUCUACUGCAAUCCACUCAGCAGAAGCCGGGCGGUUCAGUUAUGGUCCACCGUGACGUGAAAUCCGCCAAUGUUUUACUGCAACGGGAUUACGAAGGAAGAGUCGUGCGAGCUGUUUUGGCCGAUUUUGGUUUGCCGGUUUUCAUUUGGAUCUCAACGAAAGUGGCUCCGGCUCUGGCCUAGCAGCCAGUUCCAUGACAGCCUUGGUAGGUACCCACGACUGUGUUGAUCCUUUGUAUGCGGAGAGUUUAACCUGCAGACGGGUCGGCCAGUUUGCAUGUCCUUCACGAUUGAAGGUCGCGGGGAAUAUUACGUUAAACUGUCAAUGCGGUGGUGUAGAGGUUGGGUGAGAAUUGGACGUGUUGCAUCAUUAUCGAGCAGACCCAUCCCCAGCAACGUCAACCUAAAAAAGGAAAGGCCAGUUUGCAUUUCCUUCACGCUCGAAGGUCACGGUGAUCUUAACGUAAAACGUGUCCUGCGACGGCGGAGAGGUUGGGUGAGGACGACACGUGUUACAUCAUUUUCAAGAGAAAAAAGGCCAAAGAAAUCAGUCGAGUGAUCAUCACCGACAUGGCAAUAGCAACUGCAGUGCACUAUUUGUCAUCAAUUGAUUCUUCACCGUGUAAUCAGUUCGUAAUCAUGAUUAAUUAUGGCGUUGUGCUGCUGUUGGGUCGACCGCGAGUGUACCGAUGUCUCCUGGAUACGGUGGCCCCGAGUUCACCAAAGCGCCUGAGUACUACAUUGAGGCUCCCAAGUACUACACCAUCAAAGCUCCAGAGUAUUACACUGCAAUCUACGCUGCCCCAGCUUACACCACCAAGGGACCGGAGUACUGCACCACAACCUCCGCUGCCCCAGUUCACUACACCGCCCCGAGACACAACCACAUCUGAGGCAGCCAGUAUUACUGCACAGCGGCUGCUUCUUAGUAACAACCUACGUUACACCUAGAUGCUACACCGAAGCCCCUAAGUACUGCACCGGCAAGGCCGAAUAUUACAUAACCACGUUUGCUGCCCCAGCUACCCUGCUACACCGAGAAACCCAAGUAUUUCUCUGCUCCAAGCAACUAUCGAACAGAGGCUCCUGUUGACUACACCACCCAUGCCCCGGGGUUUUACAGUAAAACCUACGCUGCCCUAUCUACACCACCAAGGCUCCAAAGUACUACACAACCAAGGCACCCCAGCUUCUACUUAGGCUGCUCCGACUUUCUGCACCGAAGCUGCGAAAUAUUCCACUGCCCCGAGAUACUACACCAUCAAGGCUGUUACAAUGUUGCAUCACAACCUACGCUUCUCCAGUUUACUACAUAAUGGUGAAGCCAGAAAUGGAAACAGUUAAUUUAUAGUCUAGUGCUGUUGUUUGGUGUAUUGUUGAUGGUCGAGUCGUCCACUGGUGUACCGGUGUCCCCUGGGUGUGGCAGAUACCAAACCGCAAUGCUACCGUCUUACUACACAACAAACAUACGCGACCAGUUACUACACCUAAAAGGCCGUAUGUUACACAAGGACGUAUGCUACACCGGUUUACUAUACCGAGGAAUUCAAGUAUUACUCUUCCCCGAACAAAUACCAAACAGAGGCUCCUGUUUACUACACUUACCAUCGCCCUCGAGUGUUACACUACAAUCUACGCUGCCCCAACUACUACACUGUAGCUCCGAAGUGCUACACAUCAAUGCACAACCAAUUCGCAAUUGUUUAUUUUUACGUCGUGCUGCUGUUGGUUGUUCUAUCGUUGCUAACGUGUUGACCACUGUACCGAACUCCACCGACUUUGGG
rnacentral:misc_RNA from 1 species